UGGGGAAUUUUGGACAAUAGGCGAAAGCCUGAUCCAGCAAUGCCGCGUGUGUGAAGAAGGCCUUCGGGUUGUAAAGCACUUUUGUCCGGAAAGAAAUCCUUGGCUCUAAUACAGUCGGGGGAUGACGGUACCGGAAGAAUAAGCACCGGCUAACUACGUGCCAGCAGCCGCGGUAAUACGUAGGGUGCAAGCGUUAAUCGGAAUUACUGGGCGUAAAGCGUGCGCAGGCGGUUUGCUAAGACCGAUGUGAAAUCCCCGGGCUCAACCUGGGAACUGCAUUGGUGACUGGCAGGCUAGAGUAUGGCAGAGGGGGGUAGAAUUCCACGUGUAGCAGUGAAAUGCGUAGAGAUGUGGAGGAAUACCGAUGGCGAAGGCAGCCCCCUGGGCCAAUACUGACGCUCAUGCACGAAAGCGUGGGGAGCAAACAGGAUUAGAUACCCUGGUAGUCCACGCCCUAAANGAUGUCAACUAGUUGUUGGGAUUCAUUCCUUAGUAACGUAGCUAACGCGUGAAGUUGACCGCCUGGGGAGUACGGUCGCAAGAUUAAAACUCAAAUGAAUUG
rnacentral:rRNA from 1 species